UGCCAUAGGAUUUCUUAAAGAUUUAUUUAAGAUUUAAGAUUUGAUUUGGAUUUGUUUAAGUUUUUUUUUUUUUUUUUUUAUUUUUUAUUUUUUUGAAAUUUGAUUAAAAUUUAUCUAGAAUUUAUCUAAGAUUUGUUUAGGAUCUUUUUAGGAUUUUUUUAGGAUUUUAUUAAGAUUUAUCUAGAAUUUGUCUAAGAUUUGAUUAAGAUUUGUAUAGAAUUUGAUUUGGAUUUGUCUAAAAUUUGAUUAGGUUUUCUUUUAGAGCUUGUUUAGAAUUUGAUUAGGAUUUGUGUAGGAUUUAAUGAGGGUUUUUUUUAGGAUUUGUCUAGGAUUUGAUUA
rnacentral:lncRNA from 1 species